rnacentral:lncRNA from 13 species
AUGAUCUCAUCUCACCGCAGCCUCCGCCUCCUAGGUUCAAGCAAUUCUCUUGCCUCAGCCUCCCAAGUAGCUGGGAGGAAUGUUGAUGUUGCCAUAUAUAGUUGUAAAUGUGUUUAUUUCUCUAUCAGUUCAAUCAGUUUUUGCUUCAUGCAUUUUGGAACUCUGUUGUUGGGUAGAUACAAACUGAUGAAUGUAUGUCUUCUGGAUGAAUUGACCUUUAUCAUUGGAAUAGCAGAGGCCCACCAGGCCCUGGGCAGGAGGAAUGAUAAUAAAAUUUUUGAAAAGUGCAAUGUGAAAACAGCUGAAAGGAGAAACACUUCAGGUUCCCAUCUGAGGGUAAGUAUAAGGCAGGGGAUGGGGCAGUCCAGGUGGCUGCUGGGGACAAACCCUAGUGGGAUUGCCGUCCAAGUCCUUGAUUGUCCCAAGACAGGCAUGGCCUGGGAAAAAUAGACUUAGAUUAGUCUAUGUUUUGAUAUUUUUCCCCAGGCAUCCCAGAAAGAGCUCCUACUCCCAAAGCUAGAGGUCAGCCUUGAGUCCUGGUUAGUGACAAAGGCAUUGGCCCCAGUCCUGAUGGUGGGACGGUUACCCAGUCUAAUGUCAAUACUGAUAUCCAUGCUAGUUGUCCUUGAACUUUGCCCUCUCACUUCAACUUUGUCCUCUCAGGAACACUGCAAGGAUCAGGGAAACAGCAGGUCUUCAAGACACUCAUCUCGAAGUGCCAAGCUGACAGGUUUUCAGCGGCCACAUUCACUCAGUGGGAAGCAUGCGGCCAUGGACGCCCCUGUUCCUUUUCAGUCUCUUGUAGGAAAACAUAAAAAACCUUUCUCGCUGCUUGGAAAGGUUUUCUGGAAAAGCACCUUGAUGGAUAAAAUGAGGAAUAACAGAGAUUCUGACCCGGCAACUUGCCCUUGAUUUUCCUCAACACUUUUAAGUGGCGGGCACUCUUAUUUGAUUCCAGUACACGGCCAAGUUCAUUCUUUUUCUGUAAGAAAUUUGGAUGAGAGAUCAGAGACAAGCUAUUUUUGAUGACACUGAUCUCUCCCUUUUAAAUAUGGAGUCAGCUCUCCCUCUUCUGAGGUAGGAGGAGCGCAGGCUGGACUCUUCUCAGGCGAGGGUGCAAAUGUAGGCUUUGUGCUCAGUCACCCCUCUGUUGCCAGCAGCCUUGACCUCCAACCCAGAAACCAGGGUCCUGCUACAGGAAAGCAGGGAGGUCUCCUCUUGGGUGAUGGCCCUCAGCAGCACUGGGCAGCGGCAAGCUGGAGGGAAACAGAGGCAGCUGAAACAGCCUGGGUGUUGCUCAAAUGGAAUCAAUCCUGGAAUGAAUGAAACGUUGGUGCUAGAAUAGGUUAUAAAAAGUUGAAUAAUGCUGAAAUGCUGAAUACUGAACGAUCACCAUGAAAAGUCAGUAAAACAGAUUCUAAAAGUCUGCACAGAAGCUUUAAAGGAGGUG